UUCAUGCUGAUUUGCAAAUUUGACCAAUAAGACCGCUUCCUUCAUUCUCAGCCAUCAAAUAUAGAGAUAUCACUUAAUACCUCUCAUAAUACAUUUCAUGUUUAAUGACGCAUGUUCGGUGGCGUAACUUUGGAAGAUCCAAAACGUGAUUCUGGAUGGAUUUAAUACUUAAUGUAGCAACAGUACUGUAUUUGUUGUAUCUAGAAAUUACUUAGUAUUUCUGGAAUUAGGAGACAUAAUAUUAAUUUACCACUCACAAUGAAGUAAUCAAAACAAAAUAUUAUUUAUUAUUGUUAACUAAUUAAUCUCAUUUUUACAGCUCUGCAGAGGACUGCACACCAUCCUGCAUCCACAGCCAAAGCCGGUCAGGACGAAACAGUAUGAUGAUGUGGGUCAUGAUGCUCAGAGCACACUUCACUGGACAUCUGUGGGAGAUGCAGGGCAGGAACCUGGCACCGGUUGACUGUCUUUCUUUGGCUGUGUUUGUGCAUGCAUGGACUGGACGCCUGAGUGAAAAACCUAAACACUGAAAAAUCUCUGGGAAGGGAACAGCUCAUACUCCACCACAGAAACCCCUGCACCAGUUAACACGUGCAUGACUCCAAGUGACGAAACGUUUCUCCCACUGAAAACGCUACGUCCAGAUGAACAGAAUCAACUUUUGGACAUUUACUUACCUUGAUGAUUGAGAAUGCAUCAAGAUACUUCCUAAAACUUUUUUUUUUUUUUAAUAAAUCUGAACACAGUUAAAACUUAAAACGCUGCUUAUAAAAUAUUGGUGUCAGUG